GGUUCCCGCGAAGGACUCUGAUCAAAACAACGCGCCUCCUGUCUGUCUCUCAGAGUCUCUCUCUCUUUCUUUCUGUGUGUGUGUUGGAGGGUUGUUUGGCGUUUGCGGUGUCCAUAGGCGAAAAUGGAGGCAGCGAUGGGGUUGAUGAGAAGAAUACCUCCGAAUCAAACAGAGACUGCGCUCUCUGCUCUGCUGAGUCUCAUGCCCGAACAUUCCUCAGAUCUACUCUCUCAAGUCGAUCAGCCUCUUCAGGUUUUAUGCGAUGUGGAUAGUGGAAAGGAGUUCAUCUUGUGUGAAUACAACAGAGAUGCUGACUCCUAUAGAUCGCCUUGGUCAAACAAAUACCAUCCAGCAUUGGAAGAUGGGCCUUGUCCUUCUCUGGAAUUGAGGAAACUUGAGAUUGAAGCAAAUGAAGUCUUUGCAGUUUAUCGUGACCAGUAUUAUGAAGGUGGCAUUUCAUCCGUAUACAUGUGGGAAGAUGAGAAUGAAGGUUUUGUAGCUUGCUUCUUGAUAAAGAAAGAUGGCUCAAAGUCAGGACAUGGAAGGAGAGGUUAUCUGCAGGAGGGAGCAUGGGAUGCUAUACACGUUAUUGAGGUGGGUCCAGAGGAGGAAGGAAUGGCUCAUUACUGUUUAACGAGCACUGUCAUGCUAUCAUUGACUACAAACAAUGAGUCAUCUGGCACAUUCAAUUUGUCAGGAUCAAUUAGAAGACAGGAAGCUGAAUUCUUCAUCUUCCUUUCAUGUUCUACAGAUGAAUACGGAUCUCUCAGUGGCAGAUGGUCAUCUGUGUAACAUGGGAAAGAUGAUAGAAGAAUUGGAGGGUAAACUGAGAAAUUCACUAGAUCAGGUGUACUUUGGGAAGACAAAAGAGAUGGUUUGCACAUUGCGCCCACCAGCUGAACUGGUGGAAAUGAGACUGCCUGACAGCUGAUGGAUUUGUAUUUUGGCCUCAUGUAGUGAAAGAUGUAUCUGUUGGCUUGUCUGUUGUUGUCUUCAUCAUUUUUGUGUGUAAGAUUAGUGAAGAUUAUUUCUUGGAUGCUUGCGUUGCAAUAUUUUAUGAUCAUAGUGUAAGAAAAGUAUACCAGUUUUGGAUUUUAAUGACUUUCAGAAUAUCCAGCUUCUCUUUA